rnacentral:rRNA from 1 species
UACGAAGGGUGCAAGCGUUAAUCGGAAUUACUGGGCGUAAAGCGCACGUAGGCGGCUUUUUAAGUCGGAUGUGAAAUCCCUGAGCUUAACUUAGGAAUUGCAUUCGAUACUGGGAAGCUAGAGUAUGGGAGAGGAUGGUAGAAUUCCAGGUGUAGCGGUGAAAUGCGUAGAGAUCUGGAGGAAUACCGAUGGCGAAGGCAGCCAUCUGGCCUAAUACUGACGCUGAGGUACGAAAGCAUGGGGAGCAAACAGG